rnacentral:rRNA from 1 species
CGUAGGGGGCAAGCGUUGUCCGGAUUUAUUGGGCGUAAAGCGCUCGCAGGCGGCUCGCUACGUCAUGCGUGAAACACCCCGGCUCAACUGGGGAGGGUCGUGUGAUACGGGCGGGCUUGAGGCCAGUAGGGGGAUGCGGAAUUCCGGGUGUAGUGGUGGAAUGCGUAGAGAUCCGGAGGAACACCAGCGGCGAAGGCGGCAUCCUGGACUGGUACUGACGCUCAUGAGCGAAAGCGUGGGGAGCGAUCCGGAUUAGAUACCCGGGUAGUCCACGCCGUAAACGAUGCGGACUAGGUGUCGGGGGUAUCGACCCCCUCGGUGCCGCAGCUAACGCGCUAAGUCCGCCGCCUGGGGACUACGGCCGCAAGGCUA